rnacentral:rRNA from 1 species
GUAGGGAAUAUUGGGCAAUGGGCGAAAGCCUGACCCAGCAACGCCGCGUGCACGAUGAAGGUCUUCGGAUCGUAAAGUGCUUUUCUGGGAGAUGAGAAAGGACAGUAUCCCAGGAAUAAGUCUCGGCUAACUACGUGCCAGCAGCCGCGGUAAAACGUAGGAGACGAGCGUUAUCCGGAUUUACUGGGCGUAAAGCGCGUGUAGGUGGUUCGGCAAGUUGGAUGUGAAAUCUCCCGGCUCAACUGGGAGGGGUCGUUCAAUACUACCGGACUUGAGAGCAGUAGAGGAAGGUGGAAUUCCCGGUGUAGUGGUGAAAUGCGUAGAUAUCGGGAGGAACACCAGUGGCGAAAGCGGCCUUCUGGACUGUUUCUGACACUCAGACGCGAAAGCUAGGGUAGCGAACGGGAUUAGAAACCCUUGUAGUCC